AUUCAAGAUUUGAUAAUACAAUUUAAUCCCAUGGCUUAUUGUAUAGUUCUGAAAUGUCAAAGCAUUAGACAACGAUAGUGCAGAGCAAUGGUGAGUCCAGCCUGGAAGCCUGUUAUGGAUCUUGUGAGCUCUUGCUUCUGGUUCCAGGAU